AGAGCUAGCUCAGGGGUUAAAACAUCUGCCUUCCAAGCAAAAGGUCUCGGGUUCAGUCCCCAACAUCUCUA